UCUCUGGAGGCCAGAUGGACUGACCAUUUGAACCAGGUGAGCUUCCUUGCCAAAGGGUGCUGGCAAGGCCCCCUCCUGAGAGGACCUGCCACCUAAGUUUACCCACUAUAAUGGCAACAUCAAAAUAGUAUUGUCGUACUGAUAUGCUAAAGGACUAAACUGUGUGGAACAACUAAGAAGUGUAUCAGAGUACAGAUAAAUAGUUGCAAAUAGUGUAAGCAAUAAAGUCAAAGGAACUUAAAGAUUGCAGUUAUGGGCAUGGUAUGGAUGAUUGCCAACAGGAAACGGUGCAUGGAAGGAGGAGGUGCCUGAGCUGGACCUUAUGAGGUCUAGUGGAUGUGGGCAGUGGAGAGAAGUGUAGGGGAGGUAGGGUGGAGGAUUUCAGACCCACAGGAACAGAUGGGACCUGAAUGUGCAUAGGACUGAGAGCGGUCUCUGUGGUAGGGUAGCAGGUAACAUGGCCUGGAUUAGGUAGAGGGUGUCAGCUGUGGCUGGUGAGAUCUGAGAGGUGAAGUGGGCUGGUUUAUGAACCACUUUGAUAACCUGGCUGAGGAGUGUGUUUUCAUUCAGCUGAUAACAAGGAGAUAGUGGAGAUUUCUGAGCAUGGUCAAAGUGUGUGUUGUUUGACACAGAUCUAGUGAACGACAGUAUGAAAAUGGAUCGGGAGGGCGAAAGCCAGAAGAGUAAAUAGAACUCCUUUAUUACAGAGAAUACCAGAGUCACCAGAAAGACCAAGUGAUUCUAGAGUUGGAAUUUUCAUCCCCACUCACAGACCUCCAGGAUGAGAAGCAAAGGAAGAGAAAUGUAUACACUGUUUACAAUUUUAUGCUACCAAGAAGGCUGACUUCCAAAUUGCCAAAGUCAAAGUCAUUGAUAUUUUUAGAAUUGUCUAGAGAGAUUGACUCUAUAAGCAACUGCUAUCAUACUCCUGCUUUAUGAACCAGACCAAGACAAUAACACAUAAGAGAGAAACACUUCUGCUGUGUUCCACAAGCUUUGAAACAGAGGAAUUUGGAAGAUGGGAAGCAGAGGAGAAAUCUCAGACCUUAACCGUCCCACUGUGUGGCCCUGAUGGGAAAGGUCCAGGGCUGCAGAGCCACAUUAAGCACCUGCGAUCGGCUGGGUCUCCACAGAAGACAAAACUACCUUUUCUCCAGUAUGGGCAUCCAGCUCUGACGGCCAGUGAGCUGACAUCUGCCACCUUGACUGGCCACCUGCUCUGAGCUCCCGUGUGUCCAGCUCUAAACUGGGAGCUUUACAACAAAAUUGCAUUGUGUCUUUGUAACAUCUUGAAAGGAAAGGUAUUGUUAACUGAGAGACCCAAAGCAGGCAGACUUCAAAGCAGUUGAUCAUCCCAGACACACCCCUAUGAGAAGAGAGGAUUGAAGAUAUUCAAGAAACAUAUAUGUGGGCGAAAAGUAAAAGAUGAAAAAGUAAAAGUUGAACACUUUGAAAAGAGGAGCAGUGAGGGGUAAAAGAUGAAAGGAAAAGUCACCAACUUUAAAUGCUUGAGGUUGUCCUUGAACUCUCCCUUCCUUCUUUGCUAGUUAAUACCUGUUUCUGUUACAUCAGCACACAAAGCUACUUUUCACAAAUCUGCCAGGUACUAACUGGUAACAAGAGGUCAAACAGAAAUGUGCAUUCACGCCCUUUAAUCUGGAGUUGGCAUUUGGCAGAGUUUGUGGAGACUUAACUUUAAUUAAUUGAGUCCUUAGGAAUAGAGCUGACAGUUUCCGUUUCACAGAUUUUAGAAAGUUGAAAUAUUUUCCUCUAAGAACUUAGUUGUUCUCUAAAUCCCCCUGCCUUUGGAGGAGGCUAUCAUAAACCAGAUGACUUGAUUUCUUAGAGGGUCUCUCCUAUCAUACAACAAACACAAUGUUAUUUGUCCUUGCAGGAAAAUGUAGGUCCUAAGAGAUCAGCAAAGGGGUAUUUGGUGAUAAAACUGGAGAAAAAUGGAAAUGUUAUAAUUGAGCUGUGGUCCCUAAACCGUCCUCCUCCUCUUUCUCAAAAAACUUCCUGGUGGCUUCCCAUCUCACCCCACUAAAAUUUAAUGCAUUAUUUAGUCCUGCUGAAGAAACCUCAGCACCCACUUGAACAGUACCUGCCUGAUCUUGACCUCUCUCCAGAGGUCUGAGCCCACAGCCAUCAGCCAUCUCUUAAUCUAUAAAGUAAAUGGGCCACAUGCUGGCAGUAGAGUUUGAAGCAGGAGGCUGGGCUUUGCUUGCCCCAGGAUUCAGGCUUGUAUGAGCAAGCCUGGGGGACAAGGAGGUGAGCCUGCCAGGUGCAGUUUCCAUGAUGGAAACUGGGCAUCUGCUAGACAAGAAGAUGCCCUAAAGGCAGAAUGAGUCAGGCUGCAUGAAUUGCACAAAGUGAGUCCUGGGGAAUCACGGUGUGGAUCUAUAUAUAAUUGCCUCCAGGGAUAUUGGGUUGUGUCCAAGGGAGGGGGCUGGAGUGAGAUGGGGGAUGAAGCAUAAGAGCUCUGAAAAUGAAUAGCCAGCGAUCCAGGCUUCUGGAGCUGAUCUUGGUGGACAACCUCUCCUUCAGUGUGAGCAGUACUUGCCUUGAUGUGACUUUGCCAGGAACUGCCAGUGGCCUUGUCACAUGUUAGUGCCCUGGCCAGGUAGGAGCUGCAGGGGCAGCACUCUGGUGUGUGCCCACAGUGCUGUGCCUCUGGUGAACAUUGUCAGUGAUGGCUGACACUGGGUUACAAUUGGCUUUGGGGAUCGCUGUGACAAGAGACAACUCUACAGCGAGCAGCAGUAAUAGCUGUGAACACAGAGAAGGGCUUCACGGAACAUGGACAGGACAUCUCUGAGAAUUCCCAUUAUUAUUCCCAAGCUGUAUUCCCAAUGUAGAGCUGCUAGAGUUCCUCCUGACCCAGUGGAAACUGAGUCAGAGAAAUCCUGUGUAAUGACGUUAUUUUAAAACUGCUGGUACCUCUUGUUGCUACCCCUACACGCUAUAGGAAAUCAAGCACAUGUGUUUGGCAGGUGGGUCUCUGAUUGUUGAUGGCAAGCUAGGAGAUGAGACAGGCGGAGCGCUCACAGAGAACCAUGCUGGGUCGGGAAAUUGAGGGGCCCUGAGGCUGGAAGUUGAAGAGAUCCAGUGUGGUUAUUGACUUUCCCUCAAAGCCAAGGAAAAGUCAAUAACCACACUGGAUCUCUUCAACAUCCUGCUGGGAAAGGAAGUUGGAGAGAUUCAGUCAACAGAAAGAGGAAAACUCAAUAACCACUUUGCUUCCUACUGACAGCUAAGCCAGGCUGUCAGCAGCACCACUGAUUCCCUAGAUCUGGCCUAUCCCCUUGACACUAGUGGAGUAGUCUGGGGACUCAUUUUCCAAGGAGGGUGCCCUAAUUUAGCCUUGGCAGUAAGUGGUGUUUUGGCAGAGGGAUGCAAUUCUGAGCAAAACAUGUGUUGGAUGCUUGGACAUAUCUGACCUAGCCACUUUAGCAACACGAGUAAUCUGGGAUGAUGACUGAGUUUGUGUGUAGGGUAGGGAGCUAUGUCUCUAGAGAGCUGUGGGGCUGGGAAGUCUUAGAUGAACAAUAUACCAAUGCUACUCUCCCCUGAGUGGGAGCAACUCCUAUCAGGUUAGCACUGGUGGACUGCUGUGGUCUGCUCAGCAGGCGAGGCCUG
rnacentral:lncRNA from 1 species